UGCUCUAACAUGGAAGGAUGUCUCCAGAGGAAGAUGGCACAGAAUAUCAGAUCUGCCCAAAUGAGAUCCCUCUCUCUAGAAGACUGGCCUUUUAUGUCCUACCUGCUUUGGUAGUUCUGGGUGACUACAAACAGAAAUGAAAAGAUCAACAACUCCCAAGUGGAAGAAACUUUUUGACAUUAGAAAGAAGUGCUCAGUUACAUAUCAAAGCCACAGUGAUAUGGACCAACAUGGCUGCUGGGAAUGCAAAAUGGGUACAGCCAUUGUGGAAGGUUGUUUGGAAGUUUCUUACAAAACUAAACACACCCUCACUGUAUCAUCCUGCAGUCACACCACUUGGUAUACAAAUGGGUUGAAAAUUCAUGUCUAUACAAAUACCUGCUCAAGGAUGUUUGGAACAGCUUUAAACUUGGAAGCAUGUCCUCCAGUGGGUGAUUGGAUAAAUAAACUUGUGUGUCCAUCCAGACAGUGGGGCUGUUAUUCCUUACUAAAGAUAAAUGAGCUAUCAAACCAUAAAAAGACAUGAAGCAACCUUGAAUGCAUAUGAUUAAGUGAAAAAAGCCAAUCUAAAAAAGAUUCACAAAAAUAAAAUAAAAAGUCAAAAGGCUACAUAGUGUGUGAUGCCAACUAUAUGACAUUCUGGAAAAUCAAAACUAUGGAGACAAUGAAACAAUCAGUGACUGCCAGGAGUUGGAGUGGGUGAAUAGGGAUGAAUGGCUGGAACACAGAGGAUUUUUAGGACAGCAAAACUAUUCUGUAUGACACUGUAAUGAUGGAUACAUGUCAUCAGACAUUUGUCAAAACCUAUGAAAGGCACAGCAUCAAAAGUGAACUCUAAUAUAAACUAUGGUCUUUGGGCAAUAAUAACAUGUCAGUGUAUGGUCAUCGAUUGUAACAAAUGUACCAAUCUGGUUGGGGAUGUUGACAGUGGGGGAGGCUAUGUGCGUGGAGGGGUAGGGCAUAUAUGGUAAAUCAGUGUACUUUCUGCUCAAUUUUUCUGUAAGCCUAAAACUACUCCCAAAAAUAAAUAUUUGUUGUUGUUGUU